rnacentral:rRNA from 1 species
UACGUAGGGGGCUAGCGUUGUCCGGAAUCAUUGGGCGUAAAGCGCGCGUAGGCGGCCAGAUAAGUCCGGUGUGAAAGUCAAAGGCUCAACCUUUGAAUGCCGCUGGAAACUGUCUGGCUUGAGUCCGGAAGGGGCGAGUGGAAUUCCUGGUGUAGCGGUGAAAUGCGCAGAUAUCAGGAGGAACACCAAUGGCGAAGGCAGCUCGCUGGAACGGUACUGACGCUGAGGCGCGAAAGCGUGGGUAGCAAACAGG